rnacentral:rRNA from 1 species
GACGAACGCUGGCGGCGCGCCUAAAACAUGCAAGUCGAACGGGUACCGGGGCUUCGGCCCCGGGGAGAGUGGCGAACGGGUGAGUAACACGUGCGGAACCUGCCCCGGAGACCGGGAUAACCCAGGGAAACUUGGGCUAAUACCGGAUGCCCUCGUCGAACCGCAUCAUUUGACGCGGAAAUGGAUUCCGCUCCGGGAUGGCCUCGCGGCCGAUCAGCUUGUUGGUGAGGUAACUGCUCACCAAGGCGACGACGGGUAGCUGCUCUGAGAGGACGAUCAGCCACACUGGGACUGAGACACGGCCCAGACUCCUACGGGAGGCAGCAGUUAGGAAUCUUGCUCAAUGGGGGAAACCCUGAAGCAGCGACGCCGCGUGCGGGAUGAAGGCCCUCGGGUCGUAAACCGCUUUCAGCAGGGACGAAAUUGACGGUACCUGCAGAAGAAGCCCCGGCCAACUACGUGCCAGCCGCCGCGGUAAUAC